rfam:Oryza glumipatula chromosome 3, whole genome shotgun sequence.
AAUAAAUGUAAUUUUGCACUGUUCAUGUCCAACGUUUAACCGUUCGUUUUUUUUUAAAAAAAUAUGAUUAGUAUUUUUAUCGUUAUCAGAUGAUAAAACAUAAAUAAUACUUUAUGUGUGACUAUUUUUUUUUAAUUUUAUCAUAAAAUUUUUAAAUAAGACUGAUGGUCAAACGUUGAAUAUAAAUGUCCACGGCUGCACUUAUU